rnacentral:rRNA from 1 species
CCUACGGGAGGCAGCAGUGGGGAAUAUUGGGCAAUGGGCGCAAGCCUGACCCAGCAACGCCGCGUGAAGGAAGACGGCUUUCGGGUUGUAAACUUCUUUUCUCAGGGACGAAAAAAGUGACGGUAGCAGAGGAAUAAGCCACGGCUAACUACGUGCCAGCAGCCGAGGUCAUACGUAGGUGGCAAGCGUUAUCCGGAUUUACUGGGUUAAAAGGGCGUGUAGGCGGGAAAGCAAGUCCGAUGUUAAAACCCUGGGCUCAAGCCUCGGCCUGCUGUUGAAACUGUUUUUCUUGAGUACGGGAGAGGCAGACGGAAGUCGUAGUGUAGCGGUGAAAUGCGUAGAUAUUAGGAGGAACACCAGUGGCGAAGGCGGUAUGCUGGACAGCAACUGACGCUGAGGCGCGAAAGCGUGGGGAGCAAACAGGAUUAGAUACCCGGGUAGUC